GAGUGGCAGCCGGAAGAUUUUGUUCCAUUUAUUGAAUAUAAACCUAAUUUAGAUACAUAUCAGUGGAUUGGCGCUGGUAGAGAUUCGGAUACUAGACUUGGAGAUUUAUGCAAAUGUUGGCUGUAUAAUUUGAAUAACAUGAGUUCAAAAGUAAAAGUUAUUAAAGAUGAAGUGAUUAGUAUUAAUACGUCUCCAAUACCAUCUACUACAAAUAUUAUUUCAUCAAUUGAAGUAUCAGAAACUGAUUCACCUACUUCUUUAUCAAUACCAUUAUUAGAUACAUGGAUAGUAACACCUUCCAAUACUGAAGAACGUUUAAUUUUCCAAGAACAAGUAUGUUUUAAUAUAAAUAAUAUUUAAAAUUAUAAGUACAAUUUUGAAUUAACAUUUAGGAAAGACAAAGAUUUUUAAAACCACAUCGCUCCUUUAUUUAUCGAAUGCACGGUUAUGAGUCAAUUGUGGGUCCUGUACGUGGUAUUUACAAUUCAUCAAAUAUACAUAAAGCGGCUCGUGGUCAUUCUUUGUUAAUUGAAAAUAGACCUCAUUUUAUAUCAAUUUUGGUAUUGGGUAAGUUAUAACUUAUGCUGUUUAUGCUGUAAGAGAUAAAAAAAUACAUAAUUCAAUUUAUAAACGAGCUCAUACUACUGAUGGGUGUGCUACUGUUGUAGGUAGGAAGUUGGG
rnacentral:lncRNA from 1 species